rnacentral:rRNA from 1 species
AUUGAACGCUGGCGGCAGGCCUAACACAUGCAAGUCGAACGAGUGGCGGACGGGUGAGUAAUUUCUGGGAAACUGCCUGAUGGAGGGGGAUAACUACUGGAAACGGUAGCUAAUACCGCAUACCAUCAGAUGUGCCCAGAUGGGAUUAGCUUGAUGGUGGGGUAACGGCUCACCAAGGCGACGAUCCCUAGCUGGUCUGAGAGGUUGACAAGAAACACUGGGACUGAGACCCGGUCCAAAAUACUGCGGGAGGCAGGGGUGGGGAAUAUUGCACAAUGGGCGCAAGCCUGAUGCAGCCAUGCCGCGUGUAUGAAGAGGGGCGUCGGGUUGUAAAGUACUUUCAGCGGGGAGGCGUUACCCGCAGAAGAAGCACCGGCUAACUCCGUGCCAGCCGCCGCGGUAAUAC